UGAGAGUAUAGUUCCUAGCCAUAUCGGCUUAGAAAAUCACAACUUUUUAUUUUCCGUCGGUCUUAGUACACGAUGUAACUACAGAAGAGUCAAGUUUUAAAUAGGAAAAAUAUUGAAACUCUUUGGUCAUUUUUGAGUGAGAUGCUAACGGUUUAAUCAGAUUCAAUGAACUAUGCUAAGCUAUGCUAAAAGUGCUACCGCCAGACCCGGAGAUCGGCUGAAUGGAUUCGAAAACGGAGGAUCAUGAACUUGUGUCAUACAUUCACUGACAGAUGGAGUGGAAACAGGAGAGAUAAGAGUAAUGUCUGACAGCACUGCAGAGGAUUCUUUCAUUGUAGUACUCCACGUUUCAACUCAGCCAUCAGCUGUCUGUCUUCUCCCUGGCCCACUCUCAACUAUACUCAUGAGUGACUGGAGGGAUCCUCUGAAAUCUGCCUUUGCUUUUAAGAUCUAAAAUAAAAUGUCAGAUUCUCUCCCACUGACCCGGUAUAAAGCUGAGUGUGCUUUAAGUGAGACACAACAUUCAUAUAGACAGAGACAGAUUUUUCCCACUCAUCUUGAGAAUGUUUAACUGACAGAGAGUAAAUGAGCCCAUUUGUUUCAAGUGUAUGAGAUGGUCUGAACUAAUGAAGGGGUAUAGAGUGCAGAAAAACUGCACUGAUCAAACAAUAUAUAAUACUAAGACAACUGUCCACAAAGUACAGAAAGAGAAUUCUUUUCACUUCAGAUGUUCUUUUGUGACCAUCUUUAUUUGCUCAAGCACGCUUUUGACGGAUUUUGGGGAAAAAAAGAAAGAAAAGAAACUGUACCACAUCAUGGAGCCAGAGGAAUGAAUACAGAACUAUGUGACUCCAGGCAGAUAAUGCAGAAAUCAUCAGUAUAUCAAACGAAUGCAAAAGAAACGGCAACCUCAAACCAAAGUGCCCAGCAAGUGCUCUUCUUUUUUUGCUUGAACUCUCUCUCUCUCAGACUUUUCAGCCCUCAAGACUAGCCAAACCAAUGUGACUGCAUUGAUCUGCACAGAGGCGUCUUUGCUUGUCACUGCCCAGCACACUCGCAGCUGACUAUAGUCCCCCACUAGGACUCAAGUUAAAGGAAUAGUUCCGGAUCAAACAAUCUUCAACCAUUUCAACCAUCCGGUUCAAUCAAUCUUCAACUAUCCCUUUAUGCCUCAGCAGUUCUGAUGUACAAUUAAACUGUAUGAAUGCAGGGGACUGCUACAUAAUCAAAUGUCUGUAGAGAAGCCUGCAGAGCUGUUUUAAAGCACUGUUUACUGAAGUCCACAGACGCUAAGAGCUUUUCUGAAUGGUGUAACCACUGCGGCAGGCAGUCAAGAAAAUGGAGCGAAGAAAAAACUUCCAUUGAAUCAGUCUGCCAGUUAGAGUGUAUUGUCAAUAUGUCAAUGAUUAUAUUCCAGGGGUUUUUAAACUUUUUGAAAAGGCAACUGUAUUUUCUUGUAUAAUUAACCUUUUUUUUUAAAACAAAUUAAUAAAUUAAUAAUUAUACUGUAAAUGUUUUAUAUUGUCACGUUUGGUUUUGGUUAUCACAUUUAUUCUUUUAUUUUGUAUUGUCACAGUUAUGUUUCCUGUUUCUCAUGUGAUUCCCUUGUUUAUGUGUCAUGUUCUGAUUGGUUGUUUUGGUCAUGUGUUUCUCAGUUCUGUUUUCUAAUUGGUUCAUUGUUUCAUUGUGUUCAGGUGUUUCUUGCUUUGCUCAUUAGUCUCUGUGUACAUAUAGCCCUCAUGUUACCAUUGACUUUUGUUUCCUGUAACUGCUGUUGGUGAGUUUACAGUCAAGUUCAGGGCCAGGUCUCUGUUUAUGUUUAUGUUUAUGUUUAUUUCCAAGCCAUAUUUUUACGUUUAGUUCCUUAAGUUUACGUUUAAGUUUCUGUUUCACAUCAAUAAGCCGCACUUGAGUUCAUCCAACUCGCCCUCAGUGAUCAUUUGUUACAUAUAUAUAUAUAUAUUACAUUUCAAUAAUACUUAUAUUAAUACUUAUAUAUUAUAAUUCAAUAAUAAAUGAUUUUUAAUAUUA